AAAUCCGUGGUUUUCUAGACCGUGAGG
rnacentral:tRNA from 1 species